AAUGAACGUUGGCGGUGCGCCUAACACAUGCAAGUCGAGCGAGAAAAGUUUUCGGACUGAGUAAAGCGGCGAACGGGUGAGUAACGCGUGGGAAUCUGCCUUUCAGUGAGGAAUACCUUUAAGAAAUUGAAGUUAAUACUGCAUACGUCCCUACGGGGAGAAAGAUGGCCUCUUUGCUAUCGCUGAAAGAUGAGCCUGCGUACUAUUAGCUAGUUGGUAGGGUAAAGGCCUACCAAGGCGAUGAUGGUUAACCGGCCUGAGAGGGUGAACGGUCACAUUGGAACUGAGACACGGUCCAGACUCCUACGGGAGGCAGCAGUGAGGAAUAUUGCGCAAUGGGCGAAAGCCUGACGCAGCGACACCGCGUGAAGGAUGAAGGUCUUCGGAUUGUAAACUUCUGUUAAGUGGGAAGAAAGACGUGGUUCUAAUACAGCCACGGGAUGACGGUACCACUAGAGAAAGCACCGGCUAACUUCGUGCCAGCAGCCGCGGUAAUACGAGGGGUGCAAACGUUAUUCGGAAUGAUUGGGCGUAAAGGGUGCGUAGGCGGUACAGUAAGUCAAUUGUUAAAUCUCCCGGCCUAACCGGGAACAUGCAGUAGAAACUGCUGUACUAGAGGAUGGAAGAGAGAAGCGGAAUUCUCGGAGUAGCGGUAAAAUGCGCAGAUCUCGAGAGGAACACCAAUGGCGAAGGCAGCUUCUUGGUCCAUUACUGACGCUGAGGCACGAAAGCGUGGGGAGCAAACAGGAUUAGAUACCCUGGUAGUCCACGCUGUAAACGAUGAUCACUAGACGUUAGUUCCGCUUGCGGAAUUAGUGUCGCAGCUAACGCGAUAAGUGAUCCGCCUGGGGAGUACGAUCGCAAGAUUAAAACUCAAAGGAAUUGACGGGGGUCCGCACAAGCGGUGGAACAUGUGGUUUAAUUCGACACUACGCGAGGAACCUUACCUAGGCUUGACAUACACAUGACCGUCAUAGAAAUAUGGCUUUUCAAACGCAAGUUUGGACAUGUGAACAGGUGCUGCAUGGCUGUCGUCAGCUCGUGUCGUGAGAUGUUGGGUUAAGUCCUUUAACGAGCGCAACUCCUAUCGUUAGUUGCAAUUCCGCAAGGAAGCACUCUAAUGAGACUGCCUGGGAAACCAGGAGGAAGGUGGGAAUGACGUCAAGUCCUCAUGGCCCUUAUGCCUAGGGCGACACACGUGUUACAAUGGCCAAUACAAAGGGCUGCAAUUCCGUAAGGAGGAGCCAAUCCCACAAAGUUGGUCUAAGUUCGGAUUGAGGUCUGCAACUCGACCUCAUGAAGUUGAAAUCGCUAGUAAUCGCGUAUCAGAACGACGCGGUGAAUACGUUCUCGGACCU
rnacentral:rRNA from 1 species